rnacentral:rRNA from 1 species
UACAGAGGGGGCAAGCGUUGUUCGGAAUUACUGGGCGUAAAGGGCGCGCAGGCGGCCUGCUAAGUCGAACGUGAAAUCCCUGGGCUCAACCCAGGAACUGCGUCCGAUACUGGUUGGCUUGAAUCCGGGAGAGGGAUGUGGAAUUCCAGGUGUAGCGGUGAAAUGCGCAGAUAUCAGGAGGAACACCAAUUGCGAAGGCAGCUCGCUGGGACGUUACUGACGCUGAGACGCGAAAGCGUGGGGAGCAAACAGG